UACGGGGGGAGCAAGCGUUGUUCGGAUUUACUGGGCGUAAAGGGCGCGUAGGCGGCCACUGCAAGUCGGUUGUGAAAUCUCCGGGCUUAACCUGGAAAGGUCAAUCGAUACUGCAGGGCUAGAGUGCGGAAGGGGCAACUGGAAUUCUCGGUGUAGCGGUGAAAUGCGUAGAUAUCGAGAGGAACACCUGCGGCGAAGGCGGAUCUCUGGGCCUUACCUGACGCUCAUGCGCGAAAGCUAGGGGAGCGAACAGG
rnacentral:rRNA from 1 species